GAUUAACGCUGGCGGCGUGCCUAACACAUGCAAGUCGAGCGGCAGCGAGUUUUACACUGAAUUCUGGAAGCUUCUAGUUGAAAGAGAAGAUUUAUUCAAGAAUUUUGUGUAAAAUGUCGGCGAGCGGCGGACGGCUGAGUAACGCGUGGGAACGUACCCCAAAGUGAGGGAUAACGCAUCGAAAGGUGUGCUAAUACCGCAUAUGGUCUUCGGAUUAAAGCCCUCGGGCGCUUUGGGAACGGCCUGCGUAAGAUUAGAUAGUUGGUGGGGUAAUGGCCUACCAAGUCGACGAUCUUUAACUGGUUUGAGAGGAUGAUCAGUCAGACUGGAACUGAGACACGGUCCAGACUCCUACGGGAGGCAGCAGUGAGGAAUCUUCCACAAUGGGCGAAAGCCUGAUGGAGCAACGCCGCGUGCAGGAUGAAGGCCUUCGGGUUGUAAACUGCUUUUAUAAGUGAGGAUUAUGACAGUAACUUAUGAAUAAGGAUCGGCUAACUACGUG
rnacentral:rRNA from 1 species